rnacentral:rRNA from 1 species
UACGUAGGGGGCAAGCGUUGUCCGGAAUCAUUGGGCGUAAAGCGCGUGUAGGCGGCCCAGUAAGUCCGCUCUGAAAGCCCGGGGCUCAACUCCGGGAGGCGGGUGGAUACUGCUGGGCUCGAGUCCGGAAGAGGCGAGUGGAAUUCCUGGUGUAGCGGUGAAAUGCGUAGAUAUCAGGAGGAACACCUGUGGCGAAAGCGGCUCACUGGACCAUAACUGACGCUGAUGCACGAAAGCUAGGGGAGCAAACAGG